rnacentral:misc_RNA from 1 species
GAUGAAGAACGUAGCGAAAUGCGAUAAGUAAUGUGAAUUGCAGAAUCCAGUGAAUCAUCGAAUCUUUGAACGCACAUUGCGCCCUAUGGUAUUCCGUAGGGCAUGUCUGUUCGAGCGUCAUUACACACCUCAAGCUCUGCUUGGUAUUGGGCGUCGUCCCCUAAACGGGACGUGCCUCAAAGACCUCGGCGGUGGCGUCUUUGCCUCAAGCGUAGUAAUCUUUUUAUCUCGCUUUGGAGUCGAAGGCGUCGCCCGCCGGACGAAACCUUUAUUUUUCUAUCAAGGUUGACCUCGGAUCAGGUAGGGAUACCCGCUGAACUUAAGCAUAUCAAUAAGCGGAGGA